AUUGAACGCUGGCGGAAUGCUUUACACAUGCAAGUCGAGCGGCAGCACGGGGGCAACCCUGGUGGCGAGCGGCGAACGGGUGAGUAAUACAUCGGAACAUGCCCAGUCGUGGGGGAUAACACUUCGAAAGAAGUGCUAAUACCGCAUACGUCCUGAGGGGGAAAGCGGGGGAUCGCAAGACCUCGCGCGAUUGGAGUGGCCGAUGUCAGAUUAGCUAGUUGGUGGGGUAAAGGCCUACCAAGGCAACGAUCUGUAGCUGGUCUGAGAGGAUGAUCAGCCACACUGGGACUGAGACACGGCCCAGACUCCUACGGGAGGCAGCAGUGGGGAAUUUUGGACAAUGGGGGCAACCCUGAUCCAGCCAUUCCGCGUGAGUGAUGAAGGCCUUCGGGUUGUAAAGCUCUUUCGGCAGGAACGAAACGGUGAGCUCUAACAUAGCUUGCUAAUGACGGUACCUGAAGAAGAAGCACCGGCUAACUACGUG
rnacentral:rRNA from 1 species